UCUCGUUUGCCCUCCGUCAAGGGCGUGUGCUCCGUGUGACCUGACUCGGCCCAUCCAGCCUCCGCCAAACUUGCCAGCCUCCGCAGCGUGAGGGAGGUACUGGCUCCAAGAGCAACUACGUCGUGGUUCUUUUCUGUGUGUGAGCCCCUGGUGGGCAGUUGAGGCAGUGGUAGUGCCCUGAGCCAGGACUGGCGCCGCGCCUGCAGACCUGGGCAGUGAGUGCUGGGCUCUACCGGCCCCAGCUCCGGGAAGCCUGGGGAAGGGAGAAGGGAGAAGUCUGACCUGGGGCCCAGGGACAGAAAAGCAGUGGUCCAGGGGUGCCCAGAACCACAAGAGCACACCUCGGAGACCAUUCGGCUCCUCUGCUGGUGACUUACAAACCCACAUGGAGCUGACACUUGGAUGCCUGUGUCCUGGGGAGUCCAGGCUGGAAGCUCUUACCCACCACUGUACAGGUGAGGGAGGUGAGGCCCUGGAGAGAGACCUGCCACCCGGUGGGAUCCCCCUUGCCCUGGGACUCAGCGGGCAGAAGCAGUGAUUUCUGCCUGGAAGCCGCCCCUGCAGAGGUCACAGCCUGCCCCUCUCCCGCACCUGCACUCCUGCUCAUUUGUCUUGGCUGCAUCUCACAGUAACUGUGAAGGUUUAGUGUGAGAACACACAGGUGUUCAGAGGAGAUAGGUGGUUAUCACGGGCGGAGCUCCUGGGAGCGUCCCUGGCUAGACACCAGCCAGUGUUCAUUUCUGCUGAAACUGCCUGGCCCUGCCCGGGGUGCUCUCCUUCAGCAGUGCUGUGGUGCAUGCAUGUGGCUCAUCACAAGUUCCUGUGCACUCUUGCACAUGCCAGGGCUGGCAGCACAUGAAGGGAGGAGGUACCUGGCUGGAGACUGCUACACACAGCCUGGGGGCUCGAGUUAAAUAAGCAAAUCUGCCUUCUGGAGACCCGUGCACCUCCAUGUUUGUACAGUGGGUGCAGGUGUAUUUUUUAAAAAAUAUGUAUUUGGCUGUGUUGGGUCUUAGCUGCAGCCCGAGGGCUUGGCAUGUGGGAUCUUAGUUCCCAGACCAGGGAUUGAACCUGUCCCCCCUGCAUUGGACAGUGGAUUCUUAACCACUAGACUCCCAAGGAACUCCCGAUGCAGGUGUAUUUUUAAAGUAGGCGUUCUGGGUUGUUGCUUUGCCUUGCUUUGUUUUGGAAUAGGGUAAUUUGGUCCUAAAAUUCAUGUAGAAAAAUAAAUAGAAAUAGCAAAAAAAAAAAAAAAAAACCCUCUGAAAAAUAAUAUUGAAGUGGGGGGACUGACCACCAGGUCUACCAUGCCAUUCAUUGCACAGGCUGCUGACUGGCAGUUGAGCACAGCAGAAAUGCCUGGACCAGAUUCUAGGACCAUGGAAAUUAUGAAGCAGAAAAGGACGGGUUCAAGGGAUAGGGUCCAAAAAUGUCAGGACAACUAACUAACAAUUGCCUCUAGCUUCAUACCGUAAACCAGGAUAAACUCAGAAAGGGUCAAAGAUUUAAAUGGGAAAAGUAAAACCACAGAUGUUUUAGGGGAAAACAUAAGAGAACAUUCCUUUUAAAUGCUAGAAGUUCUUUCUAUGAAUCAAAAUCUAGAUGCCAUAAAAGACUGAUAAAUUUGAUUACAAAUGUAUAAAAUACAUCCCCAUAAACAAAGUCACAAGGAAAGGCAAAAAAUAAGUAACAAACUGAGGAAAAUAUAUCCGUAGCUCUUGUUACAAAGGACUAAUUUCCAAUACCGGAAGAGAUGACAGAAAUUAAAAGGAAAACAUAACACCCAUUAGAAAAAUGGGCGAGGGCUCUAACUGACAGUUCAUAAACGGGAGGUACAGUGACUCUUGAACAUCCAAAAAGAUGCUCAAUACUGCCCAUCAGGAAACAGACAGAAGCAAAACCCCACAGACACUCCCCUUCUUACCUAUCAGGGAGCUGAGAUGCUGAGAGCUGGCACGCCCACUCUUUACUGAUGGAAGUACAUACUGCCACCAGCUCUGCAGAGGACAGCCUGGCAAUGACUACUCAAAUGACAGACCUGUGAAUCCUUUGAACUCACAAUGCAACCUGGGGGAGCUAUCCUGCAGACUAUACCCGCACACCUACAAAAUGGGAUGUGAGUGGCAGUGUGGCAAAUGCCUCAAAACAACUCAUGCUCUUCUAGGCUUUGUUACAUACACUUAACAGACCCUCACACCACAGACUCCUAUGAAGAAGGAGCUGAACAGUUUCUUUCUGAACUGAGAUGGAAAGAUCUCUGGGGGAUGGCACUGAGAGAAAAGCGAGCUCCCAAGCAGGACGCUCAGUCUGGAGGCCAAGUUUCAUGUGCGUGCAGAUCUGCCUGGAUCUGAGAUGCUCCGGGUGGGCACCUGAGGACACAGGACCAGUAGUCGGUGGGGGCAGAGAGCUAGGCCCCUGGAGGACAAGGACUCGGAGAACCUGGGGGCAGAGAGCUAGGCCCCUGGAGGACAAGGACUCGGAGAACCUUCCUUGGAAAGGGACUUAAAUGCCCUGGAUUUUGAAACAUACAAUGUGUUUACCUAAAAAUUAAAAACACAAAUCCGAAGCAAACUCGGAAAUGGCAGCCACAAAUUCUACCUUUCUACAAGUUUCAGGGCAGGACUGGGACUCUACCCAGACUCCACAACCCCACUCACACUGCAAAUGACUGGAUGGAGGCCUCUCCCUGAUAAACAGUGUGACAGACCUGGUAUGGCUUAAAAGACAGCAGAGACGCAUUCCAACAGCAGCAGACCUGGGGCUGUAAUCAUGCCUGGAGGCCCCCCAGGUUCCUGCCAUAAAAGUCUCUCUGUCCACUCUCCUACGAUGGACCAUUUAGCACCAGCCUGGGUGGAUGCGGCAAGCACCGGCUGCCACCCAUCCUCCUCUUGCAACCCAGGAGAGUUCAUCCCACUGCAAGGAUGAAAACCCCAAGUUCAAGGCAGGAGAACAGGAGUCCUCUGCCAGGGCCAGGAAAGAGGGAGGGACUGGGUGUCCUGUGCAGGCUCCUGGGAAAGGCUUUCCUCCUGGACCAAAAAAGACAGGAUGAGGGCAGGGCAUAUGUGGGAUGGGGGAGCAGGAAUGGCAUGGAAAAGCCUCUGAGGCUAGGUGGGGGAGACCUUGGGGUGACGAUAGUCACCAGUAGCUGCAAAGAGGUCCUUGCAGACUCCCAUGGGGGCCAGACUGCUCCUUGAUACAGAUGAGUCCUUGGCCAAGCUGGGGCCCCACACUACCCCCGCCCCCAAAAAGCCAGCUCUAUGUGGUCAGCAGGGCCACCAGGGCCCCGGGGAGAGGGCCUGGCCCAGGGGGCGGGGCACGCCACCCCCUCCUCUCAGGCAGAGGCUAUGCAAGCACUCUGGCCCUACUUCCUCUUCCUGUGUCCCCUCCCCCAGCCCUCAGGUUCCUCCCCCUGUGCCUCCAGGGUGGGCCUCGAAGGCAGGGAACCAGUCCCUAUGGUGCAUGGGCGUGGGUGCGCUAUUCAGGACUGCACCCACUCCAAGAGGCAGGUGGGUGCAGUAUGAACCAUCUGUAAGAUGGGACCCGAGGUCAAAUGUCAGAAUGGCCUCACCCAGCUCACACGAGGGGAUGGCGUGUCAGGAAUUCCUCCCUCCCUACUAUGGAUCAGGCUCGACUAUGGCCAGCCACCCAUGCUGACCUUGGCCACUAACAUCUGGGGUGACAGCAGGAGAGGAACCCUGGAAGCUACCGCCCAUCAUCCAGACAGCCUGGGGAGCCACACCUGCCCCAGUACAGAGUCACAAGGCCCCCCUCGGCUCCUCAGGGUAGGGCUGGCAGACCCCCAACCCCCGGCAAGGGCGUCCCUGUCAGCACCCACCAUGCCAAAGGAGCCAGGCCGCUCUCUUCCCUGAGAGGCUGGCCUGCCUGUCUUCAAGGCCUGAGCACCCAGAGGCUGCACCCUCAAAACCUGAGCCUGGGCUCUGCCUCUAGGCCUGGUGCCUACAGCCGGCCUAUUCCAGGGACAAGAAGUAGGCCAUUUCCCUUAGAGAAAAAAAGUCAUGAGGCUCGAACAGAACAAAGCCAAACGGUGGACUUUUCAGAGCUGAUUUCAUAAAACAAGUAAAUCAGAAUAAAAACAAGUAAGCCAUUUAUUUCA